rnacentral:rRNA from 1 species
UACGGGGGGGGCAAGCGUUGUUCGGAAUUACUGGGCGUAAAGGGCUCGUAGGCGGCCAACUAAGUCAGACGUGAAAUCCCUCGGCUUAACCGGGGAACUGCGUCUGAUACUGGAUGGCUUGAGUUUGGGAGGGGGAUGCGGAAUUCCAGGUGUAGCGGUGAAAUGCGUAGAUAUCUGGAGGAACACCGGUGGCGAAGGCGGCUAUCUGGCCCGUAAUUGACGCUGAGGCGCGAAAGCGUGGGGAGCAAACAGG